rnacentral:rRNA from 1 species
UAGUAACGGCGAGCGAAGCGGGGAUAGCCCAACUUGAAAAUCUCCCUUUGGAGAAUUGUAGUCUAUAGAAGCGCCCUCUGGGGCAGGCGGAGCUCAAGUCGGAUCGAAUGCCGCGUCAGAGAGGGUGAUAACCCCGUCGGCUCCUGCCUUGCCCCUUCACGAGGUGCUUUCCACGAGUCGGGUUGUUUGGGAAUGCAGCCCUAAUUUGGAGGUAAAUCCCUUCUAAGGCUAAAUACUGGCGAGAGACCGAUAGCGAACAAGUACCGUGAGGGAAAGAUGAAAAGAACUUUGAAAAGAGAGUUAAAAGUGCUUGAAAUUGUUGAGAGGGAAGCGUUUGGAGUCCAUAGGUGCGCCCAGGCUUAAGCAGGCCUAACAACCUGUUGAAUGUGCUGGGUGCUGGUCAGCGCGGGUUGGUUUGGCGGGAUAACAGUCGGGUCCACCCAGGUAACCUGGCCUAUGCCGCCGAGCCGACCAAGGUGUAAAGGUUGCUUUGUCCUUCGGGAUCUGCAUCCUAAAGGCGCUGGCAGAAGGGCUUCAACCGACCCGUCUUGAAACACGGACCAAGGAGUCUAACAUGUAUGCGAGUUCGCGGGUGGUAAACCCGUAAGCGCAAGUAACCUGACUGGAGGGAUGGCCUGUGCCUGCACCUUCGACCGACCAUGUUGCUUUUGCGAAAGGUUUGAGUGCGAGCAUACCUGUUGGGACCCGAAAGAUGGUGAACUAUGCCUGAGCAGGGUGAAGCCAGAGGAAACUCUGGUGGAGGCUCGUAGAUGUGCUGACGUGCAAAUCG